UCCCAGAUAGCUUAAUGGUAAAGCACCCAACCAGCAAAUUGGGGGAUCUGGGGUCAAGUCCCGGUCUGGGCU
rfam:Strigamia maritima strain Brora ctg7180001231894, whole genome shotgun sequence.